UUAUUUCUCAAGGUGAGCAGGAAAGUUUAUUUCCCAAGAUGAGCUCCCUCCAGGCUGUAGGGAGGAAGGGUCAGUUUCUCUGCCCAGGUCCACAGAAUGCACACAGGAGGUGAGGACGCGGGUAUGGAAAGACACCUGCAGCAACAUUCCCCUUAUUUAGUACAACACUUGCUAUGAAGCUCUAGUUCAGUUAUUCUACACAUGAAAUGUCUUUUUCAUCAUGAAGACUUCUGCGUCUGGACAUCUGGCUGCAAUCUUAUGCUCUGUGAACGCAAGGAGUACAGACUGUACGGGGACAGCAAAGGGAAAAUUCUGGAGAAACAGUGUGAGCCAAUGGUCAGCUUUGCACAAAAAUUCACAGAUUUUUUUAAGCUCCUCUAAUGCCACACAUAUUCUGGAACGUGCAGCUGGUAUCAAGAGGUGUAACCUUCCAUGAAACAGGCAUCAGGAGCAAAACAAGAAUGAUGUCCCCUACAGGUGGGUCAUCUUGACUUCGAAGUGAGAUAUGAAUGAACAUUUAUUCAUAGAAGUCUCUCGUUUAUAUCUCAGAUUAGGUAAAUGACAUAAGAAAAUGGACACAGCUACAAGGAGAAUUCAGGUUGUUGUAACAAUCACACCAAUCAGACUUUGGACUGGGAUAAUGUCCUUGCUGUCUACGGUAGUGCCGUAUUGGGAUCCAUUCUGAAAACAUAAAUAUCUUCCAAGUCUAGCAGUCUACUGCUUAAAAGUUAAAGCAACAUCAUUGCCUGACCCCUUUCCCUCUUAUUAAUCAAGCUAAUUUCACACAAUGACUGAAAGCAGAAAAUAAUACACCUGUCUUGCCAGAUAAAACUAGUCCCAAAUUUCAGAAUUGCAGUGGUCUUCAAUAAAAGUUGGAGUACUUCUUGCUUCCUUUUCCUUUUAUCUAUAUGAAUGCCAUAAAACAACUAGUUCUGAAGUCUCUGCAGAACUGACUU